rnacentral:rRNA from 1 species
AACGCGAAGAACCUUACCUGGGCUUGACAUGCUGGUAGUAGAAACCUGAAAAGGCGACGAGCCCCGCAAGGGGAAGCCAGCACAGGUGCUGCAUGGCUGUCGUCAGCUCGUGCCGUGAGGUGUUGGGUUAAGUCCCGCAACGAGCGCAACCCUCGCCCUUAGUUGCCAGCGGGUAAUGCCGGGCACUCUAAGGGAACUGCCCGUGAUAAACGGGAGGAAGGUGAGGAUGACGUCAAGUCCUCAUGGCCUUUAUGCCCAGGGCCACACACGUGCUACAAUGGCCGGUACAAAGGGUCGCGAACCCGUAAGGGGGAGCCAAUCCCAAAAAACCGGCCUCAGUUCAGAUUGGGGUCUGCAAUUCGACCCCAUGAAGUAGGAAUCGCUAGUAAUCGCGGAUCAGCACGCCGCGGUGAAUACGUUCCCGGGCCUUGUA